ACCUAAUAGAUACCCAGGUAGUCCACGCCCUAAACGAUGCGAACUGGAUGUUGGGUACAUUACGGUACUCAGUGUCGAAAGCUAAAACGCGUUAAAGUUCGCCGCCUGGGGAGUACGGUCGCAAGACUGAAACUACAAAGGAAUUAGACGGGGGCCCGCACAAGCGGUGGAGUAUGUGGUUUAAUUCGAUGCAACGCGAAGAACCUUACCUGGCCUUGACAUCUGUCGAAUCCUGCAGAGAUGCGGGAGUGCCGCAAGGAACGACAAGACAGGUGCUGCAUGGCUGUCGUCAGCUCGUGUCGUGAGAUGUUGGGUUAAAGUCCCGNAACGAGCGCAACCCUUGUCCCUAGUUGCCAGCACAUCAUGGU
rnacentral:rRNA from 1 species